rnacentral:lncRNA from 1 species
AAUUAGUUAACAGUGGGGAGCAAUUAAUCAGGAGCUAUGUGAUUCUCACCAGAGGGAAGACGUGGAAUCUGAAGCCGCUUCUGGCCAGGCUGGGUUGCCUUUCUCCAUGGUUUUCCACAUGCUGAUUCUUCAGACUGUAAGUUUUCUUCUGUCAAGACGUUACUGGGUUUAAACUUUAUCUCCUG